AGUUUUUUGCUUGACCCUGUGGUCUACCUGCCCCUGAGUUUUAAUGGCCGCAGUAUAUUAACUGUGCAAAGGUAGCAUAAUCAUUAGUCUUUUAAUUGGAGGCUGGUAUGAAUGGUUGGACGAAAUAUUAACUGUUUCAAAUAAAUUUAUUAUAGAACUUUAUUUUUUAGUCAAAAAGCUAAAAUUUACUUAAAAGACGAGAAGACCCUAUAAAUCUUUAUAUUUUAGUUUAUUUUAAUUAUAAAGAAUUAUUAUAUUUAAAUAAAUUAAAAUAUUUUAUUGGGGUGAUAUUAAAAUUUAAUAAACUUUUAAUUUGUUAAAUCAUUAAUUUAUGAAUAAUUGAUCCAAUUUUAUUGAUUAUAAAUUUAAGUUACUUUAGGGAUAACAGCGUAAUUUUUUUGGAGAGUUCAUAUCGAUAAAAAAGAUUGCGACCUCGAUGUUGGAUUAAGAGGUAUAUUUAGGUGUAGCCGCUUAAAUGUUAAGUCUGUUCGACUUUUAAAUUCUUACGUGAUCUGAGUUCAGACCGG
rnacentral:rRNA from 1 species